GGCUUUUCAGUCAAGUCCGGAUCGUGGUGUGGUGGAGUUGGGAGAGGCAGUCUAUCGGAGCCGAUGGUGGAGCUGAAAGGCUCAGGUCAGCCUGAAAAAGGAGAGAAAAAUGGAGGCAGGAGGCUUUCUUUUCUCCUAUCAUCCAUCCAUCUGUUGUCUAUACCUGCUUAUCUUUGAAGGGAUGUUGGAUCCUACCUCCAGCAGUCAUUAAAUGAGAGACGAGGAACACCUUGGACUUGGGGCCAGUUCAUCACAGAGACACACAAGACAAACAUUAACCUAGCAGUUGUGUCUUUGGACUGUGGGAGGAAGCUGGAGUACCCGGAGAUAACCCACACAUGCACUGGGAGAACAUGCAGACUCCAUACAGAAAAACCAUCUUGCUGCAAGGCAACAUCACUAACACUUCAAAAAAAUUAUUUGUGCUACAUAAAGAAAUGUGCAUUUAUUAUUAUGAACCCGUAGUUUUUGCUUUAGAAACCUUUUAGAACCCUGUUUAAGGAGUCAGUUUUCUCCUUCCUGUUGCUCAACCACACUUUCACUGUAGUUUUAUCUUCAAACAAUGCAUGAGGUCUACUCAUCUGGUAUGUAGAGUGAAAUUCACCUCAUUUAGGUUGAGAUCAGCAGACUCACUUGGCUGUAGCUAAAAUAUUUCUACAAUUCAUAUGCAAUAUAAUCUCCUUGGUUGCAGAGCUUUUACUUAUGAAAUGUUUUUCUUUACUAGCAGCAUGUAACUCAGCGCGCCAGCAGGUAUUUAUUUCCUCCCAGAAUGUAUUAAAUUUUCUUUGUCCUUUGGUUACUCAGUGUCUGUUCUCCUACCUUGCAAUUACAACAUUCCCUGCUAUGAAAAUA